rnacentral:rRNA from 1 species
GAAAAGAAACCAACAGGGAUUGCCCUAGUAACGGCGAGUGAAGCGGCAAAAGCUCAGAUUUGAAAUCUGGUGUUCUCUUGAGCAUCUGAGUUGUAAUCUGUAGAGAAGGUCUUUUGAUCAGACAUUGGUCCAAGUCCCUUGGAAGAGGGUGUCAUAGAGGGUGAGAACCCCGUGCAUGGCCUUUGCUCUGUGUCAUUAUAAGUCUUUCUUCAACGAGUCGAGUUGUUUGGGAAUGCAGCUCUAAAUGGGUGGUAAAUUCCAUCUAAGGCUAAAUAUUGGCAAGAGACCGAUAGCGCACAAGUAGAGUAAUCGAAAGAUGAAAAGAACUCUGGACAGAGAGUUAAAUAGUACGUGAAAUUGUUGAAAGGGAAGCACUUGCCACCAGACUCAGGUAUGGACAGAUCAGGUUUCGGUUUCCGGAGCUGCACUCUGUCCUGCCGUGGUCAGCAUCAAUUUCUGCGGUGGGAAAAAGGUGAGGGGAAUGUAGCUCCUCUUCGGAGAAGUGUUAUAGCCCCGUGCUACAACUGCCUGCAGAGAUUGAGGAUAGCUCCAUUGGAAUGGAUGCUGACUUAAUGGUUGUAAGUGA